GAUGAAGAACGCAGCGAAAUGCGAUACGUAAUGUGAAUUGCAGAAUUCAGUGAAUCAUCGAAUCUUUGAACGCAUAUUGCGCUCUCUGGUAUUCCGGAGAGCAUGCUUGUUUGAGUAUCAGUAAACACCUCAACUUCCAUAUCUUUUUUGAAAUGGGAGUUGGACUUGAGUGAUCCCAACGCUUUUCCUCACCGAAAAGUGGCGGGUUACUAGAAAUGCAGGUGCAGCUGGACUUUUCUCUGAGCUAUAAGCAUAUCUAUUUAGUCUGCCUAAAAAACAGAUUAUUACCUUUGCUGCAGCUAACAUAAAGGAGAUUAGUUCUUGUGCUGACUGAUGCAGGAUUCACAAAGACGGCUUCGGCCGACUUUGUAAACUCGAUCUCAAAUCAAGUAAGACUACCCGCUGAACUUAAGCAUAUCAAUAAGCGGAGGA
rnacentral:misc_RNA from 1 species